rnacentral:ncRNA from 1 species
AUUCGGGGUUUAUGGUUAAGAGCCCCUUUCUGAUUUAAAAUAUCAGAAAAAAAACUGGAUAAAUUGCAAGAAAAACUUUAAUAAAAGUCAAUUUGCAGCCAAGUACGUUAAGUGAAAUUUAUUUUUUAUUAUAAAGUGUAACGUAAAGGUUCAACGACUAAUGGGUGAGUAUUCACAACGAUAAUCCCAACACGAACAUCCAGCAGUAGUCAGUAUUCCCAUGGGAAUGUUUUCUAAUGAUGACAUAGUCUGAACAGUAGUGUGAACUACUG